rnacentral:rRNA from 1 species
UGCGUAGGCGGUUGAUUAGGUCAGGCGUAAAAGAUCACAGCUCAACUGUGUAGGGCGUUUGAAACCGAUCGACUUGAAUACGGUAGAGGCAGGCGGAAUUCCAUGUGUAGCGGUGGAAUGCGUAGAUAUAUGGAGGAACACCAAUGGCGAAGGCAGCCUGCUGGGCCGGAAUUGACGCUGAGGCACGAAAGCGUGGGGAGCAAACA